AAAUAAUAAAUAAUAUUAAAAAAAUAAUUUAAAUAGUAAAAUUUUUGGACUAUAAAUAGCCAUGGGAGGAGAGCUUAUUCUGCACAAAGAGAGGAAAAAUCAAGUGAGAAAUCUUGAGAAGAAAGAGUUAGGAAGAAAAUUUUAGAAGAGUAGAGGUUUUGGAGAGUUUUCGGGAGAACAAUUCGGAACAAGAAAUUGAGUCUGAAAUAGAGGCGAUAGGUGGAUUUGAGUCCUGUUACUUUUCCUUUUUCAAGAGGGUACAAAUAUCUCGCCAAGAGUUUAUGACUUGUGCUGAGUAUUGUGCUUGGUGAAUGGAUGUUACUCACCAAUGUUUUUACUCGUAAGCCCUUGAAGAAUUAGGGAGAUAUGUCCAAUGCGGCGUGCGUAGGACGACUCUUAUCGGCGAUCCAUAUGAGGGACUGGUUUUGGCAUAUACUUAACAAAUGCGUAAAAAUCGAGAUAAAUCCAAUAGCUACGUGUGAAAUGAGAAGUGAUUAGAGUCAGAUGAGAAAUGAGUAGUGUCUGAAGUAUACGUGAAGAUGAUGUUUCAGGUAAAAGUGAAGACAUUUAGUGUGAGGAUGCGUUGGGAAACACUCUUCGGGACUUUUAAAUAUGUAUUUUAAAUUAUAGAACAUUGUGGUUUGUAAUUUUAAACUAGUUUAAGAUUUGGUUUGUAAUUCAAUAAUUAUUCUUGAAAACUUUGACGUCCUCAUUGUAUAAUAUUAAUAAAU